CCGUCUUUAGCUCAGUUGGCAGAGCGCGAGACUGUAACCGGCCCACUGAGGCCAACUGAGCUAUCUCGAUGUCACCUGUUCGAUCCAGGUAAGACGGA